CCUGAACUGUUCUGAACGCACGUGGUGAUGCGGAUAACAUCAAACUCAUUAUAGUGUCAUGUAAACUACACGAAUAAUAUCAGUCCAUUGUAUAGCAUAAAUUAUCAUAUCUUUAAGGCCACUUGCACCACUACGUCAGGUUCAACCGUGGACAUUAUUCGCGUGUUUGCGCCAUGUAUGUCUACUUUGCCAUCUGCUCCUUCAGAGGAAAAUUGAACAGCUCUCUACAACAACGAAUGGGCGAAAGACUUGUUAGUUGACAAUGUCAGCUGAUCAAAAUGUUUUCCGCAUUGAGUUAAGAGACCAAAUGGACUGCGACAGCAGGCUACGAUUAGCGCGGAUUGUCACGGAAACCUGCGCUGCCAUUUCAAGAAGAUUGAAUGUUUUCCUUACUGAACGAAAUCAAGUUGGAGGGAGAGCAGUUUGGAAAAUUCCACGUAUCCAGAAUGUUUUGGAACACGAAUUCCUUCACUUUCCUGAUAGAAAAUGGCUGGAAAGUUAUCUUGUCUCCAAAGAUAUGUUUGAACAGUUGAUGCGUGAUUUUCACAG